rnacentral:lncRNA from 1 species
GAUUUCUUGAUUCUUACUCAUCAUUCACUUUCUUUUUCUCUCCACUCCAGUCCAUAACUCUGUCUCUCCAGGGCUUUAUAUGUUGUCAGGCAAUCAAGCGUUUAUUUGGGCCACUCAAUCUGCAGAGUUGGAGAAUCACAACAUGGGGUGCAAGAAACAUCAAGGGCGAAAAAAGAAGAAAUAUGGAGAAGACGCGAGGACCAUGGAGGGCCCCAUAUUGAAAUCUGCCAAGCAUCCUCUAAAGCAGUCUAGCUGAAAAAGGCUUAAUUAUUUUCUGCACCAUUCUGUCCAGAACCUUGCAGCCUGUAUCCAGCAGUCAUAUUUUCAUCCAUCUCCUAGUUUUUCAUAAGCUUGUUCAUCUGUGUUCAAAAACAGCCUCGUACAAAUUUGUACCUGAUUAGAAAUGUAUAAAGAUCCUCAGAUUCACAGUUUGAAAGCUCAUAUUUAAUAGCAGAAUUUGCUUUAGCAGCUUGUGAAAUCAAACAGAGAACAGUAAAUAAAAGUUGUCUUAUGUUCUGCUACAUUCACAG